GACGAACGCUGGCGGCGUGCCUAAUACAUGCAAGUAGGACGAAGUUGCGAACGUGUGAGUAACGCAUAGGUAAUUGCCUAUGAGAGGGGGAUAACUAUCGGAAACGAUAGCUAAUUCCGCAUACUAGUAGAUGGACCUGCGUUGUAUUAGCUAGUAGGUAGGGUAAUGGCCUACCUAGGCGACGAUACAUAGCCGACCUGGGAGGAUGAGCGGCCACACUGGGACUGAGACACGGCCCAGACUCCUACGGGAGGUAGCAGUAGGAAAUCUUCGGCAAUGGGGGGAAGCCUGACGGAGCAACGCCGCGUGAGUGAAGAAGGUAUUCGGGUCGUAAAGCUCUGUUGUUAAGGACGCGGUACUGGACCAGAAAGGGACGGCUAACUACGUGCCAGCAGCCGCGGUAAUUC
rnacentral:rRNA from 1 species